GUUUAUUACUACAAACAAAAUAUGUCAUGUUGUGCUAUUCAGGCCUUAUUAAUUGUCAUGAAUAGUUAUUUCACGGAUUUCAAUUUUGAUUUCAAUGACCUAAACAACAUUAUAUGAAAUAUGUUCAGUCACGGAAACAUGUAUUCCGUGCUAAAAGAACAAUUUUGUGGAAAUUUGUUCUUCAAAGAAUGAAUUAUGUGGAAGCCAAAUCUUUCCAAGUUCCUCUAUUCGUGAAAUUAACUUUUUUUUUUUGUGGAAAUUUGGACGUUUAACCCCGCUAUGGCAUGGCUCUACUUCAUUGUGGGAUAUAGUUAUUUAAUUUUUAGAAGAGUCCUGAACUUGUCUAUACCCCAUCCAAAAGGCCUCGACUGAGUUGACUAAAAAUCCUCAAUGACAUUGGUCUCGUUUGAUGUAGAUGAUUGUCUCCCAUGAUUUGCAGCUAAAUUAUCUUUAGCCUGCAACUUAUCGCAAUCUUUCUUAACAUGUCUUUUUCUCCUGCAGUAGAAGCAGUACAAAUUGCUGAAAUUCGUUCUCAAUCUAUCCCUUCGUUGAUCACCAUGAGAUACCAGAGCAUCCUCAUCCCUAGGUGUAGCUCCAAUCAAAUGCUUCAUCUUCUUCUUUUAGAAUAAAGUAUCAUAAGCAUCUUCAAUGGCAAGCAUGUCACGACUGUACAGUAUCGUGUCUCAGAACGACGAGUAUGAAGGUUGUAGCGAACACAACAGGAUCAAGGCAAGAUCAUCCUCAUCAUAUUUGACCUCCAAUGUUUCCAAAUUCGCAACGAUUUCCUUGAACACACCUAGCUUAUCUUCUAAUGAUUUUCCAUUUGCCAUCCGAUGGGAAUACAACCUCUGCUUUAGAUGUAGUUUGCUCGUAAGAUUUUGGUCAUGUACAAUUGCUCCAGUUUCAACCACAAACAAGCCGUCUUUUUUUCUUCAAUACGUCCUGCAAAAUGUUAUUGGAGAGGUGAAGGUGAAUCUGUGAUAGAGUCUUCCUGUCUUUCCGUUGUUUCUCCUCCAUUGUCUAAUUUGCUGGCAUCUUAUCAAAAUCUAGCAAAGCAUCAUUCAAAUCCAUCUCCGUCAAUAGCUCUCAUCUUUACUCGCCACAGCGAAAAUCUUGUAUUGCAAUCUAGCAACGAUAUAUCAUAUUUCAAUGUUGCCAUCUCUGAAAAAAUCCCAACCAAAUUACAAGGAAACCCGCAGCCUAGCUCUAAUACAACUGGUUGGAUUCGGAAGCGAUGCAAGAAUUGAGAUUAAUGAACAAUAUGAAAUAGGUAUGAUCACAACGAAGAAAACAAUAUUAAAAUAAAGAAAUUGAAAAGAGAUUAGCAAAGAAAUCAAUGUUUUAUUAAAGACAGUAUGUAGAAAGAAUACAAG
rnacentral:lncRNA from 1 species